rnacentral:rRNA from 1 species
UACAGAGGUCUCGAGCGUUAGGCGGAAUCACUGGGCUUAAAGCGUGUGUAGGCGGAUUGCUAAGUACCUUGUGAAAUCCCACGGCUUAACCGUGGAACUGCUUGGUAUACUGGCUGUCUUGAGCCACUUAGGGGCAACCGGAACAAACGGUGGAGCGGUGAAAUGCGUAGAUAUCGUUUGGAACGCCAAUGGUGAAAACAGGUUGCUGGGAGUGUGCU